rnacentral:rRNA from 1 species
GAUGAACGCUAGCUACAGGCUUAACACAUGCAAGUCGAGGGGCAGCAUGGUCUUAGCUUGCUAAGGCCGAUGGCGACCGGCGCACGGGUGAGUAACACGUAUCCAACCUGCCGUCUACUCUUGGACAGCCUUCUGAAAGGAAGAUUAAUACAAGAUGGCAUCAUGAGUCCGCAUGUUCACAUGAUUAAAGGUAUUCCGGUAGACGAUGGGGAUGCGUUCCAUUAGAUAGUAGGCGGGGUAACGGCCCACCUAGUCUUCGAUGGAUAGGGGUUCUGAGAGGAAGGUCCCCCACAUUGGAACUGAGACACGGUCCAAACUCCUACGGGAGGCAGCAGUGAGGAAUAUUGGUCAAUGGGCGAGAGCCUGAACCAGCCAAGUAGCGUGAAGGAUGACUGCCCUAUGGGUUGUAAACUUCUUUUAUAAAGGAAUAAAGUCGGGUAUGGAUACCCGUUUGCAUGUACUUUAUGAAUAAGGAUCGGCUAACUCCGUGCCAGCAGCCGCGGUAAUACGGAGGAUCCGAGCGUUAUCCGGAUUUAUUGGGUUUAAAGGGAGCGUAGAUGGAUGUUUAAGUCAGUUGUGAAAGUUUGCGGCUCAACCGUAAAAUUGCAGUUGAUACUGGAUAUCUUGAGUGCAGUUGAGGCAGGCGGAAUUCGUGGUGUAGCGGUGAAAUGCUUAGAUAUCACGAAGAACUCCGAUUGCGAAGGCAGCCUGCUAAGCUGCAACUGACAUUGAGGCUCGAAAGUGUGGGUAUCAAACAGGAUUAGAUACCCUGGUAGUCCACACGGUAAACGAUGAAUACUCGCUGUUUGCGAUAUACUGCAAGCGGCCAAGCGAAAGCGUUAAGUAUUCCACCUGGGGAGUACGCCGGCAACGGUGAAACUCAAAGGAAUUGACGGGGGCCCGCACAAGCGGAGGAACAUGUGGUUUAAUUCGAUGAUACGCGAGGAACCUUACCCGGGCUUAAAUUGCAGAUGAAUUACGGUGAAAGCCGUAAGCCGCAAGGCAUCUGUGAAGGUGCUGCAUGGUUGUCGUCAGCUCGUGCCGUGAGGUGUCGGCUUAAGUGCCAUAACGAGCGCAACCCUUGUUGUCAGUUACUAACAGGUUCCGCUGAGGACUCUGACAAGACUGCCAUCGUAAGAUGUGAGGAAGGUGGGGAUGACGUCAAAUCAGCACGGCCCUUACGUCCGGGGCUACACACGUGUUACAAUGGGGGGUACAGAAGGCAGCUACCUGGCGACAGGAUGCUAAUCCCUAAAACCUCUCUCAGUUCGGAUUGGAGUCUGCAACCCGACUCCAUGAAGCUGGAUUCGCUAGUAAUCGCGCAUCAGCCACGGCGCGGUGAAUACGUUCCCGGGCCU